rnacentral:lncRNA from 1 species
CUCCUCUUAGUAAUUGUAAGCUCGUUCCAAAACGCGGUGGUUUCCGGUGUGGGCAUAAACUACGGGACUCUCGGAAACAACCUGCCAUCACCAAAGAGAGUAGCUCAGCUCCUCCAGGCCACUCUCAUAGACAAGGUCAAAAUCUAUGACACCAACCCCGAAAUCCUCCAGGCCUUUUCCAACACAGGCAUCGACCUAAUCGUCGCCGUCGAGAACAGCCAUGUCUCCAACAUCAGCACCGACGUGGCUGCUGCGGACGAGUGGUUUGCCACUCGUGUCCUGCCCUUCAUUCCUGCCACUUCCAU